rnacentral:rRNA from 1 species
UGGCCCCAGUAACGGCGAAUGGAAGCGGCAACAGCUCAAAUUUGAAAUCUGGCUCCUAGAGCCCGAGUUGUAAUUUGUAGAGGAUGCUUUUGAUGCGGUGCCUUCCGAGUUCCCUGGAACGGGACGCCAUAGAGGGUGAGAGCCCCGUCUGGUCGGAUGCCAAAUCUCUGUAAAGCUCCUUCGACGAGUCGAGUAGUUUGGGAAUGCUGCUCAAAAUGGGAGGUAUAUGUCUUCUAAAGCUAAAUAUUGGCCAGAGACCGAUAGCGCACAAGUAGAGUGAUCGAAAGAUGAAAAGCACUUUGAAAAGAGGGUUAAAUAGUACGUGAAAUUGUUGAAAGGGAAGCGCCUAUGACCAGACUUGGGCCCGGUGAAUCAUCCAGCGUUCUCGCUGGUGCACUUUGCCGGGCACAGGCCAGCAUCAGUUUGUCUUGGGGGAAAAAGGUUUCGGGAACGUGGCUCCCUCGGGAGUGUUAUAGCCCGUUGCAUAAUACCCUGAGACGGACUGAGGUUCGCGCAUCUGCAAGGAUGCUGGCGUAAUGGUCAUCAGCGACCCGUCUUGAAACACGGACCAAGGAGUCGUCUUCGUAUGCGAGUGUUCGGGUGUAAAACCCCUACGCGUAAUGAAAGUGAACGCAGGUGAGAGCUUCGGCGCAUCAUCGACCGAUCCUGAUGUUCUCGGAUGGAUUUGAGUAAGAGCAUACGGGGCCGGACCCGAAAGAAGGUGAACUAUUCCUGUAUAGGGUGAAGCCAGAGGAAACUCUGGUGGAGGCUCGCAGCGGUUCUGACGUGCGAAUCGAUCGUCAAAUAUGGGAAUGGGGGCGAAAGACUAAUCGA